rnacentral:rRNA from 1 species
GAUGAACGCUGGCGGCGUGCCUAACACAUGCAAGUCGAACGGGGUACUAUGUCGGAAGUUUUCGGAUGGAAGAGAUAGGACCCAGUGGCGGACGGGUGAGUAACACGUGGGUAACCUGCCUCAUAGAGGGGGAUAACAGAGAGAAAUCACUGCUAAUACCGCAUAAGCACACAGGAUCGCAUGAUCCAGUGUGAAAAGAUUUAUCGCUAUGAGAUGGACUCGCGUCUGAUUAGCUGGUUGGCGGGGUAAAGGCCCACCAAGGCGACGAUCAGUAGCCGAUCUGAGAGGAUGGCCGGCCACAUUGGGACUGAGACACGGCCCAGACUCCUACGGGAGGCAGCAGUGGGGGAUAUUGCACAAUGGAGGAAACUCUGAUGCAGCAACGCCGCGUGAGUGAAGAAGUAUUUCGGUAUGUAAAGCUCUAUCAGCAGGGAAGAUAAUGACAGUACCUGAAUAAGAAGCCCCGGCUAACUACGUGCCAGCAGCCGCGGUAAUACGUAGGGGGCAAGCGUUAUCCGGAUUUACUGGGUGUAAAGGGAGCGUAGACGGCGAAGCAAGUCUGAAGUGAAGAUCCGGGGCUCAACUCCGGAAGUGCUUUGGAAACUGUUUUGAUAGAGUGUCGGAGAGGUAAGUGGAAUUCCUGGUGUAGCGGUGAAAUGCGUAGAUAUCAGGAAGAACACCGGAGGCGAAGGCGGCUUACUGGACGAUAACUGACGUUGAGGCUCGAAAGCGUGGGAAGCAAACAGG